GCAUACACAUGAGACAAUAUAAGAUAAUUAAAUAUACCAUUUAUUUUAUAUUUAUUUGUCAUUUAAAAAAAAAUAAAUUACAUUUAUUUUCUUUUAUUGAGGGAUCUAUCAUCAAUAUUAAAAGGGAUACCAGUGUGAGACCCAGCUUCACCGUUUUUAAGUGGGGAUGCAAAUGUAUUAGCCAAUAUUAUUUUUUUCCCAAACAUUAUCAGUACUGAUAUGUUCUCUGUCCUAAAAAGUAAAUAAAAGCAUUUUGACAGGAAAAUAAGUAUUUAUAGAGUCAAAAUUCAGCACUUUCAAAAUCUGCGAUUAAUUGUGAUUAACUGAAAAAUAAUGCAAUUAAUUGCGAUUAAACAUUUUAAUCAACUGACAGCACAAGUUAUAAUGUAUAAUUAUUAGGGAUUUUGAUUUAACGAGUUAAUUCAGUGCGAUUAAUUAUAUAAAAAAUAAUGCAUAAAAAAAUGUAUGCAAUUAAUCAUGCCCCCCAAACGUUAAGGAAUAUUCCUACCAUCUGAGAAAUUCAAGCUUGAAGUACCACCUGUUUUCAGCAGGGGGCAGCAAGCAAAACUCCAGCAGUUUAUUUAAUUUUACAUAAAAGUAAAACAUUUAUUACAUCACUUUUAUUUUAUUGAGGGUUCUAUCAUCAAUAUUAAAAGGGAUACCAGUGACUAUGUGACCAGAGGAUGCACAAUAUAUUAGACAAUAUAACUUUGUUCUACAAUUAUCGGUAUUGAUAUCAGUCUGAUUAUGCUGAUAUUGGAAGAUAAUAACAGACCUUAUUUUGUUGCAACUCAAAGAAUGUACCCUGUUCUAUACCAGGUUAUAAAAGUAUCAAACACUUAUCCAUGUUUUCUACUCUACAUUAAUAUGUAUUAUAUUCAUUUUAAAAAUGGUAUAAUAAGAGCUGUCGAAAUUAAAGUGUUAACUCGAAACUAAUUGAAAAUGUUGAACAUGUUUUUUAUUAAUUUAUUUUUUUAUUUUUUUAUUAAAGUGAUUAACGCAUUUACCAAUUUGAUACUGGAUUCUUAAAUUUUAUUCAGCCCUGUGUGAGUUCUGAACAUUGGUUGGAAUAAGGCGGAACCUUUGCGAUGUGUCCGCCCGGGCUCAUUAUACUGAUGCACACAACACAAACACACACUGUGUCACACCGAGGAAGGUCUGUGCACCAAAACGUCUGUCUCUUCCUCUAAAUCCAUGUAGUAAAAAGUAACAGAAGUCUAUCAUCUGAGUGCGGCAUAUUUGGCAUUGUAUUACAAAUGCCAAAUAGAUAUACGCACCAAACAAAUAAAAAAGCAGUAAAAGAAGAGAGAGUGCGGUGUAAAAAUAACUUACGAUUUAAUAACCUUUGCAAUGCAUAAAGGCCUCGAUAUACUUCCGUAGAAGUUCUUCUUCAUUCUUCGUCCAGGGGUAAAAGGAAGUUCUAAACUGCCGAGCAACGGUACACUGUUUACGAACCUUCAGACACCCACCACACUGAUGUGGGAGGCAUUUAGAAGUACAUUUAAAUAUGAGGACGCUACAUGUAAAACCUUAAAAAUGUGUCAUCAAUGACUUUAUGCCUCAUUCUGAGUAACAAUUCACGAGUAUUACUAAAAAGUGUGGAACUGGACCUUGGAGCAGUGGAAGAAGGUCACCUGGUCUGAUGAGUCCCAUUUUCUUUUACAACACGUGGAUGGCCGUGUACAUGUGCACCGUUUACCUGGGGAAGUGAUGGUUUGUGGAGGGAGUGUGAUGCUCUGGGCAAUGUUCUGCUGGGAAACCCUGGGUCCGGCCAUUCAUGUGGAUGUCAAUUUGACAUGUGCCACCUACCUAAACAUCAUUGCAGACCAGGUACACCCCUUCAUGGCAAUGGUAUUCCCUGAUGGCAGUGGCCUCUUUCAGCAGGAUAAUGCGCCCUGCCACACUGCACACAUUAUUCAGGAAUGGUUUGAGGAACAUGAUAAAGUGUUCAAGGUGUUGCCCUGGCCUCCAAAUUCCCCAGAUCUAAAUCCGAUUGAGCAUCUGUGGGAUGUGUUGGACCAACAAGUCCGAUCCACGGUGGCUCCACCUCGCAACCUACAGGACUUGAAGGAUCUGCUGCUAAUGUCUUGGUGACAGAUACCACAGGACACCUUCAGGAGUCUAGCAGAGUCCACGCCUCGGUAGGUCGGCGCUGUUUUGAUGGCACGCGGAGGACCAACAGCAUAUUAGGCAGGUGGUCAUAAUGUUUUGGCUCAUCAGUGUACACUCACUGAGCACUUUAUCAGCUAGGCUGGGGUCAGAGUGCAGGUUCAGCCAUGAUACGGCGCCCCUGGAGCAGAUAGGGUCAAGGGCCUUGCUCAAGGGCCCAACAGUGGCAUCUUGGCGGUGCUGGGGCUUGAACCCCCGACCUUCUGAUCAGUAACCCAGAGCCUUAACCGCUGAGCUACCACUGCCCCCUCACACCUGUACACCUGCUUAUUCAUGGGAUUAUAUAAUCAGCAAUUGAUGUGGCAGCAGUGCAAUGCAUAAAAUCAUGCAGAUAUGGGUCAGGAGCUUCAGUUAAUGUUCACAUCAACCAUCAGUAUGAGGAAAAAAUCUGAUCUCAGUGAUUUGGACCGUGGCAUGAUUUUUUUAUGCUAGAUGGGCUGGUUUGAGUAUUUUUUGAAACUGCUGAUCUCCUGGGAUUUUCACGCACAACAGUCUCUAGAAUUUACUCCGAAUGGUGCCAAAAACAAAAAACAUCCAGUGAGCGGUAGUUCUGCGGAUGGAAAUGCCUUGUUGAUGAGAGAGGUCAACGGAGAAUGGCCAGACUGGUUCGAGUUGACAGAAAGGCUACGGUUAUUUUGGAUAACCACUCUGUAAAACUGUAGUGAGUAGAAUAGCAUCUGAUAAUGCACAACAUGUUGAACCUUGAGGCGAAUGGGCUACAACAGCAAAAGGCCACGUCAGGUUCAACUUCUGUCAGCCAAGAACAGAAAGCGGAGGUGGCACAGGCUCAACAAAACUGGACUGUUGAAAAACAUUGCCUGGACUGAUGAAUCUUGAUUUCUGCAGAGGCACACAGAUGGUAGGGUCAGAAUUUGGUGACGACAGCAUAAAUUCAUGGACCUAACCUGCCUUGUGUCAACAGUGCAGGCUGGUGGUGGUGUUGUAAUGGUGUGAGGGAUAUUUUCUUGGUACACUUUGGGCCCAUUAAUACCAAUCAAUCACCGCUUGAAUGCCACAGACUAUUUGAGUAUUGUUGCUGACUGUGUGCAUCCAUUCAUGGCCAUAGUACACCCAUCUUCUAAUGGCUACAACCAGCAUGAUAAUGCACCAUUUCACAAAGCAAUAGUUGCCUCAAACUGGCUUCAUGAACAUGUCAAUGAGUUCACUGUUUUUCAGUAGCAUUGAAAAUAUUUUGGAAUAGCCACAUACACUAUUCCAUUUAUGGUUGAAAAAGCAUUGAUUUAGCAACAUUUACGCCUCUCAUCCACAGUGGAAUGCUAUUUUCCCCCACCAAAAAUGGAGACUUUUGAAAAACUGUACUAGAACCACAUACUUGAUGUUAGGAAACUGUAUUAGUUUGAAUUGCAUUUAAAAAAAUAUAUAUAAUUAUGCAAUAAGAGUAAAGAUUUAUAGUAUCAGCCGACAAAU